UAUGUUUUCAUUUUUUUCAGAGACAAAACUAUGUGAAAAAUUAGAAGUGAAUAACAUUUUCGGCCCGGCCUUUUGUCUCUACCUCGUUCUUAAUCUUUUAAAGUUCCUUGAAUUUUUUACUAUCAAUAUUGUAAAUACGCAUAAACUACGCAAUUCAACAACUUAAGAAGAUACAACAUAUAAACAAACACCUAUACAACGUGUAGAAUGGUGGGAUGGUGAAAAUACUAAACAAUAUUAUUUCCAGCAAGGAAUGUUCAUUUCUCCCCACACAGGAAACAACAGUUCCAGUACUUCUCUUAACGUUAAGAAGCGCCGAGUGGAGUUGGGUGUGUGCGGGGGUGGGGGCGCCCCUCCCCCCGCUCACAGUUUAGGCUACCACCCUCCUUCUGUUAUUGUUGCAUCGGAAAGACACACCAACGGCACCAGAAUUAAAACAGAACGCAGUAGUGGAGCCCCUGUUAAGAGGCGAGCAGGUACUUUUAAACUGUACAUUAUUUAGUUUUUUAUUUUUU